GAUGACACUGAUAGAGUUGAUUCUUCUCGCAGAAGCCAUGUUUUCUCCUUCUACACACUACAUUCAACUUGUCCUUGGCUCUUCUGAGAUAACUCAUCCCCGACAUCAUCUCUCCUCAAAGGGAUUUCCAGCUCACCCAAUAUGGGCAGUAGGCUGGUUUUUCUUUUCUUCUUUUUAUGUUUGAUGGCUCAGAUGGAGAUCUCAUUUUGUUACAAUGUCAAGCCCAUCAAGACUGGAGCUUCAGUUCCAGGGAUUAAACAUGAUGAAUAAUCCAUUGCUAGAAGUCAACCUGGAGUCAGAUGGCAAAGGGGAAUCAUGGCUUGUGGAUGCCCAGCUCAGCUUCAAAACAGAGCAUGGCAAGACAGAUUUCCGGCUGAGAGACUGUUGCCUAUUUUGCAGUUUCUUAUACAUUCUUCUGGAGUAUGUGAGUAUUUUCUUGUUUAUUUAAAGUUUAUUUUUGUUAGCUUUUAUUAGUUUGAGAGCCAGAAACAGAGAGAGAGAGAGAGAGAGAGAGAGAGAGAGAGAGAGGUGUGUUCCCAUCUGCUAGUUCACUCUCCAAAUGCUCACCAUGGCUCCAGGGCCAUGGUGGAACCCAGGAGCUGAGAACUCAAUCAAGGUCUCCUGCGUGGGUAGCAGUAACUCAGUCACAGUCAUUGCCACAGCCUCACAGGAUUUGCAUUAGCAGAAAGUACAAUCUGGAGAGGAAUGGAGAUUUGCUCCUUGCUUUUUUGUGUUAGUUUGGAAAUCUUUCUAUAUUUUUGACAUAUUUUAUGUACUCCAUUUAUAUAAUUUUUGACACAUUCAAUUGACUUCCUUUCUUUGUUGAGUUUAUUUACUAUAGGAAUAAUCAGCUCUGUAAUGCUGGCAUCCCAUAUGGGCGCCAGUUUGAGUCUCAGCUGUUCAUCUUCCAAUCCAGCUUCCUGCUAAUGUGCCUGGGAAAGUAGCGGAGGAUGGUCCAAGUCUUUGGGUCUCCAUGUAGGGGACCCAAAAAAAGCUCAUGACUCCUGGCUGAUGGCUUUGGAUCGGCUCAGCUCUUGCUGUUGUGGCCAUUUGGGGAGUGAACCAGCAGAUGGAAGACCUCUUUCUCUCUGUCUCUACCACUCACUGUAACUUUGUCUUUCAAAUAAAUAAAAUUAAUCUUUUAAAAGAAGUGAAAGU
rnacentral:lncRNA from 1 species